UACGAAGGGGGCGAGCGUUGCUCGGAAUCACUGGGCGUAAAGGGCGCGUAGGCGGCGUUUUAAGUCGGGGGUGAAAGCCUGUGGCUCAACCACAGAAUGGCCUUCGAUACCGGGACGCUUGAGUAUGGUAGAGGUUGGUGGAACUGCGAGUGUAGAGGUGAAAUUCGUAGAUAUUCGCAAGAACACCGGUGGCGAAGGCGGCCAACUGGACCAUUACUGACGCUGAGGCGCGAAAGCGUGGGGAGCAAACAGG
rnacentral:rRNA from 1 species